AGCUUUGCUCAGUGGCAGUAUCAUAGCCAAUGAGGUUUAUCCGAGGCACCAUUAUUGCUAAUUAAAAGUCCUCAGGCUCCCAUAACCUACAGGGAAGAAAAAGAGCAAGAUAUUUUAAGCCACUGUGCUCCAACACAGGGAUUAAAAUAAUAUUGAAAUAACUAUCAAUUU
rnacentral:snRNA from 1 species